AAUAAGUAGGGCUGUGGUUUGAAUAAGGAAUACGCUCUGAGAAGAGAAAUGGCGGUGCGACUCCGUCCGACUACUUGUUAUGACAUCUAUUUUUAUAGGUGUUUUUUUUA
rnacentral:sRNA from 1 species